GCAAGUCGAACGGUAACAGAGAAGAGCUUGCUCUUUUGCUGACGAGUGGCGCACGGGUGCGUAACGCGUAUACAAUCUACCUUUUACAGGGGGAUAGCCUUUAGAAAUGAAGAAUAAUACCCUAUAGUAAGUAAUUUUCGCAUGGAAAAUACUUUAAAGUUUCGGCGGUAAAAGAUGAGUAUGCGUUCUAUUAGCUAGAUGGUGUGGUAACGGCACACCAUGGCUACGAUGGUUAGCGGGUCUGAGAGGAUGAUC
rnacentral:rRNA from 1 species